UACAGGGGGUGCAAACGUUGCUCGGAAUUAUUGGGCGUAAAGAGCUCGUAGGCGGUUGGGCAAGUCACGUGUGAAAUCUCCACGCUCAACGUGGAGGCGCCACGUGAGACUGCCCUGACUCGAGUCCGGUAGGGGAGCGUGGAAUUCCCGGUGUAGCGGUGAAAUGCGCAGAUAUCGGGAGGAACACCGGUGGCGAAGGCGGCGACCUGGGUAGAUACUGACGCUGAGGUGCGAAAGCGUGGGGAGCAAACAGG
rnacentral:rRNA from 1 species